rnacentral:rRNA from 1 species
UCGUGGAGUGAUCUGUCUGCUUAAUUGCGUUUCAAAUAUAUAAAGGUAAGUUUAUAUUGUGAGGUAUAUUGUCUUUACUUCGGUAGGGCUAUACUGAGCAGACUACCUUUUGAAAGCAACGAACGUGACCUCAGCUCAAUGUUAUCUCUUAAAAGAGACCAACUUUGAGGACCGCCAGAGUUGUCAACUCGGAGGAAGGUUGAGGCAAUAACA